UUUUACAGACAUUGACGAAUGUGAAACAGACCCAUGUAUAUUCCUGUUUGAUUGCUUCGAUGGGCUAAAUGAUCGAACUUGUAAACUCAACGAAUUCAAAUUGGCAGCUUUAGUAACAGCAUUAGCACUUGCUGUUGGGAUCAUUAUAUUCCUCGUCUGUAAAAACAAGAAGAAAUACAACGAAGUUGACCACUCAUGGCUAUCUAGCUACUUAGAUGUUCGAAAACCUGACUCUCAGCCAAAACUUGUAUACCAGCCAAAGUCGGUCCAAAAUUUAAAACAACCUAGUUCAGUAUGUAACUUGUUUAGUUUUACAUCCAAAAACUUUCUUAAAUGAGAUAUAAUGAUAAGGUAAUGUGUUUUUUAAUCUGUAUUUUAUAUCAACAGAUUGUUUUGUUUAAUAUUUAUUGCAUGAAAUAUGCUGCUACUUUAAAUGUUUCAAAACCAUGACAAAUAUUUUAUAUAAAUGGAUCAACUCUUGAAAAAUAACAAUAUAAAGUAAUAAGUAUUUUUUGGAUGAACUCUACAAAAACUUAUAAUCUAAGCUGUUUUUCUAAUCAACAUGGUUGAAAGCGCUCACAGUAUUUUGAUAAAUAUAUUUCUUUUUUCCAAACUCAUUGUCAUUGUUUGUAAUUUGGAAAUAAAUAGUUGUGUGUACUACACUCACGAGUGUUUAUGGAGGCAAUAAAAUACAACUUAUUGAAUAAAAAUCUUAUUUCCUUACUACGAGUAUACAGUGGAGAUUUUUACCUGAUAUAUAUUUAAUUUAAAUGUUUACACUUUUUCAUGUAAUGAGGGAGGGAAUUGGGUUUAAAAAUAUAUACCCGAUUUCAUUAUAUAUGUUUAAUACAAUAAAAUAUGUUCAAUUCAAAAACAUGACAUUAUUUCACUGUAUUUGUUUAUUUCAAUAAAAUAUGUUAAAUGUAAAAAAUAUGACAUGAUUUCAUUGUAUAUGUUUAUUACAAUAAAAUAUGUUUAAUAAAAAAAUGACCCGAUUUUAUUGUUUAUGUUUAUUACAAUAAAAUAUGUUCAAUUUAAAAAAAAUUACUUCUGUAAUUUUUUCAACAUAGUUUCCCUUUCCAAUCGUUUUAUUUUAACGUUGUAAAA